GUGUCAGCCGCCGCGGUAAUACGUAGGGGGCAAGCGUUAUCCGGAAUUACUGGGUGUAAAGGGAGCGUAGGUGGCGAAGCAAGUCAGAUGUGAAAGCCCGGGGCUCAACUCCGGGACUGCAUUUGAAACUGUUUUGCUAGAGUGCAGGAGAGGUAAGUGGAAUUCCUAGUGUAGCGGUGAAAUGCGUAGAUAUUAGGAAGAACACCAGUGGCGAAGGCGGCUUUCUGGACUGUAACAGACGCUGAGGCACGAAAGCGUGGGGAGCGAACAGGAUUAGAUACCCUGGUAGUCCACGCCGUAAACGAUGAGUGCUAGGUGUUGGGGUCUAAUUAGAUCUCGGUGCCGUCGCAAACGUAUUAAGUAUUCCACCUGGGGAGUACGUUCGCAAGAAUGAAACUCAAAUGAAUUGACGG
rnacentral:rRNA from 1 species